AAUGCUUAGGAAUCUGCCUAUUAGUGGGGGACAACAUUCCGAAAGGAAUGCUAAUACCGCAUACGCCCUACGGGGGAAAGCAGGGGAUCUUCGGACCUUGCGCUAAUAGAUGAGCCUAAGUCAGAUUAGCUAGUUGGUGGGGUAAAGGCCUACCAAGGCGACGAUCUGUAGCGGGUCUGAGAGGAUGAUCCGCCACACUGGGACUGAGACACGGCCCAGACUCCUACGGGAGGCAGCAGUGGGGAAUAUUGGACAAUGGGCGAAAGCCUGAUCCAGCCAUGCCGCGUGUGUGAAGAAGGCCUUUUGGUUGUAAAGCACUUUAAGCGAGGAGGAGGCUACUUGGAUUAAUACUCUAGGAUAGUGGACGUUACUCGCAGAAUAAGCACCGGCUAACUCUGUGCCAGCAGCCGCGGUAAUACAGAGGGUGCGAGCGUUAAUCGGAUUUACUGGGCGUAAAGCGUGCGUAGGCGGCUUUUUAAGUCGGAUGUGAAAUCCCUGAGCUUAACUUAGGAAUUGCAUUCGAUACUGGGAAGCUAGAGUAUGGGAGAGGAUGGUAGAAUUCCAGGUGUAGCGGUGAAAUGCGUAGAGAUCUGGAGGAAUACCGAUGGCGAAGGCAGCCAUCUGGCCUAAUACUGACGCUGAGGUACGAAAGCAUGGGGAGCAAACAGGAUUAGAUACCCUGGUAGUCCAUGCCGUAAACGAUGUCUACUAGCCGUUGGGGCCUUUGAGGCUUUAGUGGCGCAGCUAACGCGAUAAGUAGACCGCCUGGGGAGUACGGUCGCAAGACUAAA
rnacentral:rRNA from 1 species